UACGUAGGGUGCAAGCGUUAAUCGGAAUUACUGGGCGUAAAGCGUGCGUAGGCGGUUUGCCGUGUCCUGUGUGAAAGCCCCGGGCUCAACCUGGGAAUUGCAUGGGAAACUGGCAGGCUUGAGUGUGGCAGAGGAGGGUGGAAUUCCGCGUGUAGCAGUGAAAUGCGUAGAGAUGCGGAGGAACACCGAUGGCGAAGGCAGCCCUCUGGGCCAACACUGACGCUCAGGCACGAAAGCGUGGGGAGCAAACAGG
rnacentral:rRNA from 1 species